CGGACAGGUGAGUAACGCGUGGAAAACCUGCCGUAUACUGGGGGAUAACACUUAGAAAUAGGUGCUAAUACCGCAUAAGCGCACAGCUUCGCAUGAAGCGGUGUGAAAAACUCUGGUGGUAUACGAUGGUUCCGCGUCUGAUUAGCUAGUUGGUGGGGUAAUGGCCUACCAAGGCAACGAUCAGUAGCCGGCCUGAGAGGGUGAACGGCCACAUUGGGACUGAGACACGGCCCAAACUCCUACGGGAGGCAGCAG
rnacentral:rRNA from 1 species